rnacentral:rRNA from 1 species
UAUGUCAGACGCGAGGCAGACCGCGAACCCGUGUUUAAAACGCCGCCGGGCGCCACCGCUCCGAGGGGCGUGCCCCGGCCCCACCCCCCGGCGAGCGCUCGCGAGCGUCGGGCGGGCUAACGAACCCCGGCACGGAACGCGCCAAGGAACACCGAAACGAAGGGCCCCGUCCCCCCUCGCCCCGUCCGCGGUGCGCCGGGCGGGGGGCGGUCGCCCCGCGUGAUUAUGACGUCGAAACGACUCUCGGCAACGGAUAUCUCGGCUCUCGCAUCGAUGAAGUACGCAGCAAAUAAUUGCCGGGAACGCAGCGAAAUGCGAUACUUGGUGUGAAUUGCAGAAUCCCGUGAACCAUCGAGUCUUUGAACGCAAGUUGCGCCCGAAGCCAUCCGGCCGAGGGCACGUCUGCCUGGGCGUCACGCAUCGCGUCGCCCCCUCUCCCCCGCCCCCACCGCGGGGCGGCCUUGUGGCGGGGGGGCGGACAUUGGCCUCCCGGGCGCUCCCGCGCGCGGCCGGCCCAAAUGAGAUCCCCCGGUGACGCGCGUCGUGGCCAGUGGUGGUUGAACGCUCAGCCCGCGUGCUGUCCGCCGCGCUUCGCGCCGUCGCCGGUCGGGCAUACGGAACGACCCUCGCGGCGCCUCCGUGCGCCCUCCGACCGGACCCCAGGUCAGGCAGAUCAUCCCGAUU